AAUAAGAUAAGCUAAGAAUAAGCUGUCGGGCUCAUACCCUGAAAAUGGGGUUUAACCCCUCUUAUUA
rnacentral:tRNA from 1 species